rnacentral:hammerhead_ribozyme from 1 species
GUACUGAUGAAGAGUUCCCAAAAUAGGACGAAACAGCUGUCCAGUAC